rnacentral:tRNA from 1 species
CAAAUUAGAGCUUGAAUAUAAGUAUUUCAUUUACAUUGAAAAGAUAUUAUUUUAUAUAAUUAAUUUGG